rnacentral:rRNA from 1 species
UACGAAGGGGGCGAGCGUUGUUCGGAUUUACUGGGCGUAAAGGGCGCGCAGGCGGCUCAUUUUGUCAGGCGUGAAAGCCCCGGGCUUAACCUGGGAACUGCGUUUGAUACGGAUGGGCUAGAGUUCGGGAGAGGAGAGUGGAAUUCCCAGUGUAGAGGUGAAAUUCGUAGAUAUUGGGAAGAACACCGGUGGCGAAGGCGGCAUCCUGGACCGACACUGACGCUGAGGCGCGAAAGCUAGGGUAGCAAACGGG